UACGUAGGGAGCAAGCGUUUGUCCGGAAUCAUUGGGCGUAAAGCGCGCGUAGGCGGCCCUGUAAGUCCGUUGUGAAAGUCAAAGGCUCAACCUUUGAAAGCCGAUGGAUACUGCAGGGCUAGAGUCCGGAAGAGGAGAGUGGAAUUCCUGGUGUAGCGGUGAAAUGCGCAGAUAUCAGGAAGAACACCUAUGGCGAAGGCAGCUCUCUGGGACGGUACUGACGCUGAGACGCGAAAGCGUGGGGAGCAAACAGG
rnacentral:rRNA from 1 species